rnacentral:rRNA from 1 species
UACGGAGAGUGCAAGCGUUGUUCGGAAUUAUUGGGCGUAAAGCGCGUGUAGGCGGUCCAUCAAGUCUGGCGUGAAAGCCCGGGGCUCAACCCUGGAAGUGCGCUGGAAACUGACGGACUUGAGUACUGGAGGGGAAGGUGGAAUUCUCGAGUGUAGAGGUGAAAUUCGUAGAUAUUCGGAAGAACAUCAGUGGCGAAGGCGACCUUCUGGACAGAUACUGACGCUGAGACGCGAAAGCAUGGAAAGCAAACAGG